AUUGAACGCUGGCGGCAGGCCUAACACAUGCAAGUCGAGCGGAUGAAGGGAGCUUGCUCCUGGAUUCAGGGGCGGACGGGUGAGUAAUGCCAAGGAAUCUGCCUGGUAGUGGGGGAUAACGUCCGGAAACGGGCGCUAAUACCGCAUACGUCCUGAGGGAGAAAGUGGGGGAUCUUCGGACCUCACGCUAUCAGAUGAGCCUAGGUCGGAUUAGCUAGUUGGUGGGGUAAAGGCCUACCAAGGCGACGAUCCGUAACUGGUCUGAGAGGAUGAUCAGUCACACUGGAACUGAGACACGGUCCAGACUCCUACGGGAGGCAGCAGUGGGGAAUAUUGGACAAUGGGCGAAAGCCUGAUCCAGCCAUGCCGCGUGUGUGAAGAAGGUCUUCGGAUUGUAAAGCACUUUAAGUUGGGAGGAAGGGCAGCAAGUUAAUACCUUGCUGUUUUGACGUUACCAACAGAAUAAGCACCGGCUAACUUCGUG
rnacentral:rRNA from 1 species